UCGGAUAUGGUUUAACGGCUAACAUUAUCGCGUCUCACGCGAUAUCUCGGGGUUCGAUUCCCCGUGUCCGAA
rnacentral:tRNA from 1 species